rnacentral:ncRNA from 12 species
CUCUAAUAUUUUUUCUAGAUUAUAUAUUUUAAGGAAUAUAUACAAUGAAAUAUUAGAUAUUAAAGAGAUUUGUUCCUUCCUAAUUAAGGUAAAAAAGAAUCAAUAUAAUUUGUAUUAGUAAAAGAAAUUUGAAUAUACGAAUUAUAU